AGAGUGAACGCUGGCGGCAGGCCUAAUACAUGCAAGUCGAACGGCAGCACGGCAGAGCUUGCUCUGUGGGUGGCGAGUGGCGGACGGGUGAGGAAUACAUGGGAAUCUGCCCAGUCGUGGGGGAUAACGUAGGGAAACUUACGCUAAUACCGCAUGCGCCCUUCGGGGGAAAGCCGGGGACCUUCGGGCCUGGCGCGAUUGGAUGAGCCCAUGUCGGAUUAGCUAGUGUGAGGUAAUGGCUCACCAAGGCGACGAUCCGUAACUGGUCUGAGAGGAUGAUCAGUCACACGUGGAACUGAGUACACGGUCCAGACGUCCUACGGGGAGCCAGCGAGUGGGGAAUAGUUGGACAAGUGGGACGAAAGUCCUAGAUCCAGUCCAGUCGCCG
rnacentral:rRNA from 1 species